ensembl:antisense 4930551O13Rik RIKEN cDNA 4930551O13 gene
AGUGGAAUCAAGAUACCUUAAGAACAAUCCGAGUCGUAAUGAAUUGACUGUAAUGAAGAGACUGGCUCCCAGGGAAACCAUGAAGCUAUAACUAAACAACCCUUUCAAACCUCACAGUGAGUUUUCUGAGGGGCAAAGCAGAAGCUGGCUCACAGUCAGUUCUUCAAACUCCGCACAACUCCUGGCAUCCUCUGUACAGUUGCUCCUAAAAAGACAUCACUGCCAUAUUCAGUAUGGAAAAUAAAAAGGUUUUGAUUGCAACAAAAAUGUCAAGAGUAAGAGAGAAGCAUGAUACAACUGAAAUCCAUGUCCUCCAAUCAGUUCUUGACUGCCCUAAGCACAGCUGAGCCAAUCCUUGUACGCACGCAACGAAGGCUGUGGGGACCAGCAAUGCUUCAAGGACGCUAACCUCAUAAUGUUAGCAUUCACUCCAAAGAGGUACUGUGUCCACAAGGCCACAGAAUCCACAGGGACAGCUCAGCAGCUGUGCAGGAGAUGCCACCAUCUCCAGAGAUCAGUUUCAGAGAGGACUUUGGGCUGACUAUUCAGGUCCAUUCAGACCUGAAUGGACCCACUGCAACUGGUCAGAGACUAUCACCUUUGUGAGUCAAGGAAUAAAAAAAAAAACUUUUCUGGCUUUGGUUUGCACACGAAGCAGAGAUGUGUAGAUACUACCGGCAAAUGUUUUACUAAGUUUCAGAAUCUUAUCAAGAGGCACAUUCACGGCAAACUGUGACCAUCACCCAGUAACGGAAUGUUCAGAGCAAUGACGAUGACGAAGGUACCAGGGACGGCAGCUAGCCUUUUAGGCAUCUGCCAGGCUCAUAUAUCUGAACACCAGGAUUAGACUCCAAGGCUGCAGCCCCAAGUCUAGAAGCCAAUCUCAGACCUUACCAGCCUCAUAAAGCUUACGAGCUAUGGCAUGAAAGAGGAAGUGGUCUCUGUAUAUGGAAAUAAAUGAAUGGGAAGUGGCUUAAAAUUUCCAAAUAGUUUUUCUUUCCUCUGCUUCCAGGAAAGUCUUGAUAGUAAAAGCAGCAAUUUGAGGAAAGUUGACUUCUAAACC